UACGUAGGGUGCGAGCGUUAAUCGGAAUUACUGGGCGUAAAGCGUGCGCAGGCGGUUCGUUGUGUCGGCGGUGAAAGCCCCGGGCUCAACCUGGGAAUGGCCGUUGAAACUGGCGAACUGGAGUGUGGCAGAGGGGGGUGGAAUUCCGCGUGUAGCAGUGAAAUGCGUAGAGAUCUGGAGGAACACCGAUGGCGAAGGCAGCCCCCUGGGCUAACACUGACGCUCAUGCACGAAAGCGUGGGGAGCAAACAGG
rnacentral:rRNA from 1 species